GGUUGAUCCUGCCAGUAGUCAUAUGCUUGUCUCAAAGAUUAAGCCAUGCAUGUCUCAGUACAAACUAAAUUAAAGUGAAACCGCGAAAGGCUCAUUAAAUCAGUUAUGGUUCCUUAGAUCGUACCACAUAAAUUACUUGGAUAACUGUGGUAAUUCUAGAGCUAAUACAUGCAAACAGAGCUUCAACCAGAAAUGGAAGAAGUGCUUUUAUUAGAACAAAACCAAUCGGCAUCAAUAUUUUGAAAUAUAUAUUACUUUAAUCGGUAUAUAUAUUUUUUAUAUUGUUUGUCGUAAUUUAUGGUGAAUCUGAAUAACUUUUUGCUGAUCGCAUGGUCUUGCACCGGCGACGCAUCUUUCAAAUGUCUGCCUUAUCAACUGUCGAUGGUAGGUUCUGCGCCUACCAUGGUUGUAACGGGUAACGGGGAAUCAGGGUUCGAUUCCGGAGAGGGAGCCUGAGAAACGGCUACCACAUCCAAGGAAGGCAGCAGGCGCGCAAAUUACCCACUCCCAGCACGGGGAGGUAGUGACGAAAAAUAACGAUACGGGACUCAUCCGAGGCCCCGUAAUCGGAAUGAGUACACUUUAAAUCCUUUAACAAGGAUCUAUUGGAGGGCAAGUCUGGUGCCAGCAGCCGCGGUAAUUCCAGCUCCAAUAGCGUAUAUUAAAGUUGUUGCGUUUAAAAAGCUCGUAGUUGAAUUUGUGUUAUACACUGUCGGUUCACCGCCCGCGGUGUUUAACUGGCAUGUUUUGUAUAACGUCAUGAUGGUGGAUGGAGAGAUCGUUUAUGUAACCUGCUAUAUUUAUCUGUUUUAUGUUUUGUAUUAUUAUUAUGAUAUGUUGAUAUGUGUUGUUAUUGUGUGUGGUUCUAAUAUUUUUUUCAUUUAAUACUGUGGGUAUGAAAAACUAUAUAUCUUUUUAUAUAUAUAUAUUUGAUGUUUUGUAUAUUAUAUAUUAUUAGACCACUAAUUCUUAUGAUAAUAUAGUGUAUAGGUACUAAGUGAUCGCCAUCCGACUUUAAAAUCCUGUCACAGUGCUCUUAAUUGAGUGUUGAGAUGGGCCAUCACAUUUACUUUGAACAAAUUAAAGUGCUUAAAGCAGGCUAAAAUUUUGCCUGAAUAUAUAUUGCAUGGAAUAAUGGAACAGGACCUUAGUUCUAUUUUGUUGGUUUUCGGAAUACUAAGGUAAUGAUUAAUAGGGACAGAUGGGGGCAUUCGUAUUGCGACGUUAGAGGUGAAAUUCUUGGAUCGUCGCAAGACGGACAGAAGCGAAAGCAUUUGCCAAAAAUGUUUUCAUUAAUCAAGAACGAAAGUCAGAGGUUCGAAGGCGAUCAGAUACCGCCCUAGUUCUGACCAUAAACGAUGCCAACCAGCGAUCCGCCGAUGUUCCUCCGAUGACUCGGCGGGCAGCUUCCGGGAAACCAAAGUUUUUGGGUUCCGGGGGAAGUAUGGUUGCAAAGCUGAAACUUAAAGGAAUUGACGGAAGGGCACCACCAGGAGUGGAGCCUGCGGCUUAAUUUGACUCAACACGGGAAACCUCACCAGGCCCGGACACUGGAAGGAUUGACAGAUUGAUAGCUCUUUCUUGAUUCAGUGGGUGGUGGUGCAUGGCCGUUCUUAGUUGGUGGAGCGAUUUGUCUGGUUAAUUCCGAUAACGAACGAGACUCUAGCCUGUUAACUAGGCGUAAAAUUUAACCAGUAUCUUGAAGGCUUGCAUCUUAUGUUUGUUCACUUUCAUGUUAAAUGUUUUAAUCUUUGGGGUGUAUAUAUUUAAUGUUUUUUGUAUUAUGUAUGUUUCGGCAUACCUCUAAUAUGAAGCCAUUAUUAUAAUAUCCUCGGGGUUUUUCUUUUUUCAUGUUUUGUGGCACAUAAGUUUGCAGUUUUUACUAUUGGCGUAUUAAUUAUUCUUCUUAGAGGGACAGGCGGCUUCUAGUCGCACGAGAUUGAGCAAUAACAGGUCUGUGAUGCCCUUAGAUGUUCUGGGCCGCACGCGCGCUACACUGAAAGAAUCAACGUGUGUUUUCCUUGGCCGAGAGGUCCGGGUAACCCGUUGAAAUUCUUUCGUGCUAGGGAUUGGGGCUUGUAAUUAUUCCCCAUGAACGAGGAAUUCCCAGUAAGCGCGAGUCAUAAGCUUGCGUUGAUUACGUCCCUGCCCUUUGUACACACCGCCCGUCGCUACUACCGAUUGAAUGAUUUAGUGAGGUCUUCAGACUGGUACGCGGUAAAAUUUUUAUUUUGCCGAUGUAACUGGGAAGAUGACCAAACUUGAUCAUUUAGAGGAAGUAAAGUCGUAC
rnacentral:rRNA from 1 species